AUUGAACGCUGGCGGCAUGCCUUACACAUGCAAGUCGAACGGUAACAGGUCCUCGGAUGCUGACGAGUGGCGAACGGGUGAGUAAUACAUCGGAACGUGCCCGAGAGUGGGGGAUAACGAAGCGAAAGCUUUGCUAAUACCGCAUACGAUCUCAGGAUGAAAGCAGGGGACCGCAAGGCCUUGCGCUCACGGAGCGGCCGAUGGCAGAUUAGGUAGUUGGUGGGAUAAAAGCUUACCAAGCCGACGAUCUGUAGCUGGUCUGAGAGGACGACCAGCCACACUGGGACUGAGACACGGCCCAGACUCCUACGGGAGGCAGCAGUGGGGAAUUUUGGACAAUGGGCGCAAGCCUGAUCCAGCCAUGCCGCGUGCAGGAUGAAGGCCUUCGGGUUGUAAACUGCUUUUGUACGGAACGAAAAGACUCCUUCUAAUAAAGGGGGUCCAUGACGGUACCGUAAGAAUAAGCACCGGCUAACUACGUGCCAGCCGCCGCGGUAAUAC
rnacentral:rRNA from 1 species